rnacentral:rRNA from 2 species
UCAAUCCUAGAAGCACUGAUGAAUAAGGGGUGGGCAAGUUCUGGUUUCAGCCGCCGCGGUAAAACCAGCACCUCAAGUGGUCAGGAUGAUUAUUGGGCCUAAAGCAUCCGUAGCCGGCUCUGUAAGUUUUCGGUUAAAUCUGUACGCUCAACGUACAGGCUGCCGGGAAUACUGCAGAGCUAGGGAGUGGGAGAGGUAGACGGUACUCGGUAGGAAGGGGUAAAAUCCUUUGAUCUAUUGAUGACCACCUGUGGCGAAGGCGGUCUACCAGAACACGUCCGACGGUGAGGGAUGAAAGCUGGGGGAGCAAACCGGAUUAGAUACCCGGGUAGUCCCAGCUGUAAACUAUGCAAACUCAGUGAUGCAUUGGCUUGUGGCCAAUGCAGUGCUGCAGGGAAGCCGUUAAGUUUGCCGCCUGGGAAGUACGUACGCAAGUAUGAAACUUAAAGGAAUUGGCGGGGGAGCACCACAAGGGGUGAAGCCUGCGGUUCAAUUGGAGUCAACGCCGGGAAUC